GGAGAGAUGGCUCAGUGGUUAAGAGCAGCGUCUGCUCUUCAGGAGGACCUGGGUUCAAUUCCCAGUAUCCACA
rnacentral:tRNA from 1 species